rnacentral:lncRNA from 1 species
CCGCGAGUUAGCUCGUGUUUGGCUCGUUAAUAAACGAGCCGAAUAUAUAUGAGCUAAAUUUUUCAGCUCAAUAUUUAAAGAAAAAACUUCAAAUACUACCCAUGUGGUUUCACACUUUAUAACUUUAGUACCAUGUGGUUUGAAGUGUAUCAAUUUAGUAUCAUGUGGUUUCAUUUUUAUCUUUUUAUUAUCGACUUCACUAAAUUUUUUCGUUAAAUCAGUGACAAAGUUAAAACAAAAGGGUGCUAAAGUGAAUAUUCGAUAAAUCUAGGUGGUAUCUGAAGUAUUUUGUAUAUAAUUUAAUAAAAUAUUAACGGAGAAACUGGAAAAAAGAUAAAAAUGAAACCAUAUGACAGUAACUUGAUACACUUAAACCAUAGGGUAGUAAAGUGAGAAAGUGCGAAACCACAUGGGUGGUAUCUAAAGUUUGCCCAUAUUUAAAUGAGUCAGCUCGUGUUCGGCCCAUUUGAUUAAUGAACGAACACGUGCCAGUCCCACCUCGC